rnacentral:rRNA from 1 species
ACGGGUGAGUAAUGUCUGGGAAACUGCCUGAUGGAGGGGGAUAACUACUGGAAACGGUAGCUAAUACCGCAUAACGUCGCAAGACCAAAGAGGGGGACCUUCGGGCCUCUUGCCAUCGGAUGUGCCCAGAUGGGAUUAGCUAGUAGGUGGGGUAACGGCUCACCUAGGCGACGAUCCCUAGCUGGUCUGAGAGGAUGACCAGCCACACUGGAACUGAGACACGGUCCAGACUCCUACGGGAGGCAGCAGUGGGGAAUAUUGCACAAUGGGCGCAAGCCUGAUGCAGCCAUGCCGCGUGUAUGAAGAAGGCCUUCGGGUUGUAAAGUACUUUCAGCGGGGAGGAAGGGAGUAAAGUUAAUACCUUUGCUCAUUGGCGUUACCCGCGGAAGAAGCACCGGCUAACUCCGUGCCAGCAGCCGCGGUAAUACGGAGGGUGCAAGCGUUAAUCGGAAUUACUGGGCGUAAAGCGCACGCAGGCGGUUUGUCAAGUCAGAUGUGAAAUCCCCGGGCUCAACCUGGGAACUGCAUCUGAUACUGGCAAGCUUGAGUCUCGUAGAGGGGGGUAGAA